AUAUGUGAAUUGGGUAUGUUACAUUUGCUUUAUCAAUAGAUCUUCCAAGAAGUACAAUAGUGUUUUUUCUCCUUGAGAAGUACUAUAUAUAUAUCCUUCAAAAACAAUGUAAAACAUAGAGAAGAAGUGAAAUAUAGAGGGAGAGAGAGAGCCAUGGUGAAGAAAAAUAACAAUGUUUUAGUUAUAAUUUGGAUGAUAAUAGUACUCAUGGUAGUCUGUUUCUACACUGGAAAUGCAGAGUCUUGCUCUGAGUUUUGCUCCAACAGCUGCUCUUACUGCAAUGUUAGGCCUCUCUAUGCAGAUUGCUGCAUCAACAGAUGCUGCCCAUCCUUGGGUGAAUCUCUCCUUAAUAUCCUCCGCCCCAACUGAGCUAAUUAAGUUUUCUUUUGCUAUUAAUAAAUAAGGUAAGGUUCAUGCCAAACCCCAAAUUCCCUCUUCCCCCCAUACCCCCCAUAGGAGGUGAAAGACUAGGUUGAUGGUUUAAUUACAGGAAAAACAAAAGUUAAACCCAUGGAUGAAAAAAAUUCUUCCUCCUAUAUAUAGCUAUUUUACCUAUCUACCUAAAUAAAUCUGUAAUAAAUUGUACUUCCGUGUUAGUGCAGUUGUACCAUUCUACUCGUCAUGUAUGUUGAAAAUGAUUGGAAUCUAACGUCCAUAUUCUCUUCGUAUUAGUGAGGGCGGAUUCACAUUUAGUAGCGUGGGUGCUUAAGCACCCAUUGUCUUUGUCUUCGGGUAGUAUUUUGUCAUUCCAGAUUUUUUUUGUUUUUUAAGUUCCAGUUGUUUACCCAUAAAACGGUACAGUUGAAUUCGUAAAAUGGUUUAUAGACACGUGAAUUAAAUUGAUACAAGAAUAUAAAGUAAUGAAGAACAAAAUUGAAUAAAAUAAAAUUACUUAAAUAAAAGACAAGCCUGGGCCUUGAAUUGAACUUCUCUGAAAACAAGAACAAUAUCAAGAACUAAAUUCUAAUAGAACAAUGUUUAGCAAAAUAAGAGAAUAAUAUUAACCUUUUUCAUACAAGUAUUUUGGUCCUCAAAUGACUACAAAUUUCUAUAUUUAUAACUAAAUUAGGGGAGACAAAAUUCACAAAUCAAGCUCCUUUUUAAGGUAAAUAAAGACCUCUCUUGAUAGCCGCAUAACGGUUGAGUGUAAAUGCUAGGAUUCUCUGUAAAGGCUGCUCCUUUAAUGGUGCCUUCUUUAAUCGGCACCUUGCUUUCGAAUUCUUCCCUUCAGUUUUGAUAUUUUCGGAACUCAUACAAUAUCGGUCACAUACUUGUAACCAGUGUCAGCGAUUUGCUGACUCAUAUCCUACCUGUCCUUAUUGCCACAUGUCAACUCGACGAACAUCCACCUGUUAUUCAUUAAUUUUACGUAUAGAUAAUCUCCCUACUUUUCGGUGACUCAACUUGAUGUGAUCGGGAAAUAAAUAAGACCUUUUUUCUUUACGGGAAAGUUUUUGAACGGUUUCUAACAUUUGAAAGGACGCACGUCUCUUUGAUUUUAAUGACUCGAACAUGUGUUGUCUCGUGAUUCGACAAUUAUGUUUGCCAGUUACCUAGGUAAUGAUGGCCUUGCAUUCUGUCGCCUAUAAACUUCUUCCCUUUUCACCACUUUCAUCUUUUACUUUUACAAGCUUUCUUCUUAGAGUCUUCAUACAGCUUUUCUGCAACUCACCUUUUUUUAGUAAAAAUUUACAAAUUCAUACUUUCUAUCACUAUGUCUUCUGCUAUUUCUUCCCCCCGAUUACAAAGGGACUUGCUUCAGCCGUGGUCCAUCCAAGAAGAACAAGUCUAAGAAACCCGAUGUCGUUUCUCCCUCUACUAACAUGAUCAUCCUUUUUAGUUUUCUUGCAAAAUGGAUAUUGAUGUUCAAAAGGAAUCUUCUGACCCCGGCAACGACAAAAAUAUAGUUAUUGGUGAAUAUUCCUCUUCUAUUCGUCCGGUCAGUAUACCUGUCGUAGAAGAGGAUUGUAACUAGAAGAAUAUUGAGGUUUCAGCCCCUAGUGAAGUGGAGAGGAUUACUUUCAGCAAACCAGGGUACAUUUACGUUUACACGUACCAUUUCACUUUAGGACUUGACAAGGAAAUAGACCCAAUCAUCUUGGAGUUUUGCUGGAACUACCAUGUUUGUUUGGCUCAAGUAGGACCGGCAAUAUGGCACAUGGUGGCUUGCCUCUCGAUUCCUGUAUUCCCGGGCUCAGGAAACCGUUACACUUGCUCAUAUGAUCAACCUGUAUGCCCCUAUGAUUUUCCGUUGAGGCAUGAUCAAACUCAGCAAACACGAUCACGAUGCCAUCGUCGCCAGUGUUGAUGACGAUAAUGAAUGUGGUUGGAUGGAGAGGUUUGUUGUUGUCACUCCCGGGGAUAUUUUAUCGGCGUCUGCAUCUCCUAUUCCUAAAUCCUGAAACUACACUCUAAACUUUCUUAAUAUUCAUCUUUUACUUUGUUAAAGGAAAUUCCCCUCUUGCUAAACUUCAUUUUCUCUCAUUUUAGCCACCCGUAGGGUACCUCCAGCAGAUGAGAACCUAACACUAUGGGUUCAAACAAAUUCUAGAUACUUUCACACCGGACUCCCGUAAGUGGAAGGAAAUUUCAAUUAGGCUCAACUAGAAGGCGAAGAACCAUGGCCUUCUGAUGGAUCUUCUAUUUGUCCCAUCAUCAUUGUUUCACAUGACCCGAAGGUGGCCCAACAACGGAUUCAAGAGGACCUUGACUGGAAGAGGGCUCGUGAUGCCUCUCUUGCUUCCGGUGAAGGCAUAUCUUCUCUGAGUCCCCAACCCAAGGGAAAAAUCGAAAAGAAAGCAUACUUAUAAGGUUGGGUCUAAGGAGUAGCCUCCAGUAACAGAAGAGAUCCCAGAAGGAUCAGCCACGGUGGUCCUUGACAAAGAUGAUAUUGAAGAUGAUGAUGGUUUCUCUUCAGAGAAGAAGAAAAAGAAGAACUCCCUCAGCUCAACCGGAGGAUGUAGAAGGAUUCUUUACUGAGUUCGACUUGGUUGAGAAUGUUGAAUCCCGCUUUCGGGCCCCAGUUAUUGCCUUUGGUUAGAAGGGUUCCUCUUCUGAUGCUCCUUCAACUUCUAUUCCAUCUCCAGCUCUUGUAUCACCAGCUCUGCCUCGCCACUAGUUCCAACCGAACAAGAGGAAGAUGUGUGUUCCCCCUUAUCACCUGAUCUAGGGAACAUAGAAAAUGCCUUCCUGACAUUCAUCUGGAACCUUAACGGUAAAUGCAGUGUUACCUUUUUUGUUUUGAAUAAAUGCCAUUUGCUUUCCACGUCAGUGAGAGUAGCCAACUUCUUGAAUCCUAUGGCUUCGGAUAAGGACUGGAGAAAAAUGUACGGUCUCUCCGCGGAAUAUUUAAUCAACAACAACAUACAUCUUGUUGCUCAGGUAUCAUCUCAUUCUUCUCUUUUACCUUUACACUUGCUAACAAUCAUCUUUUGCAACUCUAACCUUUGAAUUUACAGGCUAACCUAAAUCUGGUAAUGUCCUUCCCAGGUCGGUUCCAACUUCCCAUCAUUGACUUCCCGGGUAUUAUGAGUUAUCUUUCAUAAAACCAAAUCUCCAAUUUUAAAAUAGUAAAGAUUUACUCUACGAUUGUAGUAUCUUCUCAUCCUCUGCUUCUGUGCUGCCAUUCAUACAUAAGACAAGUUCCAAUGCUCCUCAAGCAAGUCCAACAUAAUCAACAUUGCUUCAUCAUUCCCCUGCUUGUUUGCCAUGGAAUACCUCAUGUUCAGUUUACCUAUCUCCACCGGAAUCAAAGCUUCCGUACCAUAAACAAGGGAAAAAGGCGUUGCUACUGUGCUCGAUUUUGUUGUUCGAUAUGCCCAUAAUACUCCCAGCAGCUCUUCUGGCCAACUGCCUUUAGCAUCCUCUAAUUUGUUUUUGAGGUUUUAAAUUAUCACCUUGUUAGUUGACUUUACUUGACCGUUGGCACUUACUGGUGUGCUUCAGUUUUAGUAUUGGGCUGUAGGUCUCACAUUUGCGAUGAACUCUUCCCAAAUGCAAACUCCGCUUAUGUGAAGUUGAGCUCGCAAUUGCGAUAGGGGACUGGGCAGGGUAGUUUUCAUAUUUAUGAAGAAAUGUUCGCAAUUGCGGAAUUCCCAGACUUAUCUUUUGCGAUGGCUUGGUCGCAUUUGCGACUGAGCACUAGGCUUUGGCAGGUUCGCAAAUGCGAACCUUUGUUCGCUUUUUUUGGUUUGAUGCGACAUAGCAUUUGUGAUGGUUUUGUUGCAAUUGCGACUAAAGUAUGCUGGGGGCACAGUUCGUAUUUGCGACCUCUUUCUUGCAAUUGCGAUGGUCGCAAUUGAGAACAAGAAAUUGCAAUUGCGACAUCCGCAUCUGGGUAAAAGAGGGGGAAAUCGGGACUUAGCCCAUUUUAUACCAUUUCUCAACCCUAAACUCUCUAGAAGUGUUUUUUCAAGAGUUUCUUCUUCCCAAAUUCAUUGGUAUGCAACUUUAAUCUAUUUUCUUUCAAUUACCCAAUACUUUUCAUGUGUUUUCAAUAUCAAAUCUAGGAUUUUCAUGGUAGAAAUUAGGAAUUUGGGUAGAAAUUGGAAAUUUUGUAAAUAUUGAGAUUUAGAUCUGAAAUUGAGGUUGGAUUUCAAAACAAAUCACUUAACUAGGCUCGGGGGUUAAUGGGUAACCGGUUUUUGGUCUGAAUCUCGGGUUUUAACCAAGCAGGCCUAGGGUUGCCUUUUUAAAAUUCUUCAAAGAUUGAACCUUUUCCCUUCGUGAAUAGUGUCUAAAGCUUAUUUUGAAUUGUUUGAUCGACAAUUGGUUAGAUUUGGUUGGUUUGGAGGCUUGUUCAGUAGGCAAGGCCAUGGUUGGUUGAUUAACUUUGUUGCGGAGUGAGGUAAAUAUUGUGGUUAACCUUGACUUAUGGAAAUUAGGACUUCUUGGUCUAUUUGCUACGUGAAUUAUAUGUAUGGACGACGUAUAUGUAAGGUCUAAUAUAUGCGUCGUUAUUGGGAUAAAGCAUGUGGGUGAAAAUUGUUUUAUUGUACUAUGUUGUUUCAAUGACUAUGCUUUCCAUGUCGUAGUUAGAUUAUUACUUUUUCAAUUGUUCGGUUUCAUAUCUAUUGUUUAUUUUGAAGAAGUUGUUGGGAUUUUUGAAAGUUGAGUUUAAUUAUCAUUACACUAUGAUUGAAGUGAAAUUGCUUCCUACCUUGUUUUGCUGUUUUGGAUUAGUGUUGCUUGGUGAGGAAGAGUGAAAAGCUCGAAGGGUGUUGUCGUGCCUUAUUUGCUUCCUACCUUCGUUCUUAUCAUACUCCCCUUUCUACAUGUUCCUUCCUAUUUAAUAUUUUAAUUGUCCUGUUAUUUUGUAUCUUUAUCUAUAUACCUGUACAUGAUUUACAUAGGUGUCUUAACAUAGCCUCGUCACUACAUCAUCGGGGUUAGACUCGGCACUUACGAAGUACAUUGGGUCGGUUGUACUCAUGCUACACUUUUGCACUUCUUGUGCAGAUACUGGUGUUGGUCUCAGUGGUGUCUAGUGGUGCUUCUACUCGAAUCAUAUCUACAUUAGACACUUGAGGUAGAGCUGCUAGAGUUCGCAGUUCCUGAAGUCCCCAUCUAUUUCUAUCUAUAAUGUUUAUUUCGUUUUGAAUAGUUGUAUUUCGUUCAAACCAUACUUGUAGUAUUCUAGUUGCUCAUGUACUGGUGACUCCAGAUUUCUGGGAUUAGAAUAGAUCGUGUUAUGUUAUGGGUUUAUUUCAUGUAUUAUCGCUUAUUUAUCGUUAAUAACUAUUAUUACUCUACUUUAAACGGU